UGUCAUUGAGUCUGAGCAGCCCCCGGCCUCUCUCCACCCAGGACUGUGAGGCCUUGUCAAAGACGAAGAGCUUGCACUGCAUCUGUAACACGUUGCUCUCCGCCUCCUCCCCGUGAUGACUUCCACUUUUUUCCAACAAGCACUUCCGCUCCUUUGCCUUGGUGUAGGCGGCUGCCGACCUGGCCAGGGGCUCCUUCUCGGGGGUGGCCUCUUGGGAUGAGGACUUGGACCCCGCGUUGGCAGCUGCAUUUUCCCUACUGGCAUCUGAACUGACCUCAUUUAAUUUUGGAAAGCUCAAAACUCGCUCACUCAAAUUCUGGCCAAAUACGAGUUUGUUGCUGGAGGCAUCAGCACUAUUGGUUGAGUUCUCUAAACUGGAACUGAUACGCUGAAGGAAAUAGUUUGUCCGGCUGGCGUGUCUGCACUGGGGUGUCCAGCACUCUCCAUGUCGGCUUUGUCCGCACUCUCAUUGAUCAGCUUAACUCCGUCCCUCAAGUUCUGCCCAAGUACAAACGCUUGUUGUGUGGCGGGGUCUUUUUUCUCACAGGCUUCCUCUUCAGAGACAUCGCUGGACUCAUUUUUCUGGGGCUCUUUCUCCUCAAGUGCACACACCUCGUUGGCAGCUUGGGAAGGACUCUUCCAUGCAGGGUUGUCAGGGGAUGCUGCUGGCACGGCCUCCAUGCAGUCGGCUGGGAGGCUGACCCCAUUGGUGCCACUGCUGGGGACCAUCUGGGACAGCGCCUUUGGCUGCGGGGCCUGAUCACUGCCGUACGAAGCACACUCCGCUGCUUUUCCCUGGGCUUCUGGCUGGGCAGACCUGCGCUGGGGGCCUGGCCAUGGACCAGCCUUGGUGGCUUCAACCCGAAGCCACUGCUCCUUUCCUCUGGCUCGGAGUCGGAAUUGCCUGCAGAUGGCUGGGCAGACCUGGAUGGGGGCCUGGCCAUGGACCAGCCUUGGUGGCUUCAACCCGAAGCCACUGCUCCUUUCCUCUGGCUCGGAGUCGGAAUUGCCUGCAGAUGGCUGGGCAGACCUGUAUGGGGGCCUGGCCGUGGACCAGCCUUGGUGGCUUCAACCCGAAGCCACUGCUCCUUUCCUCUGGCUCGGAGUCGGAAUUGCCUGCAGAUGGCUGGGCAGACCUGUGCUGGGGGCCUGGCCGUGGACCAGCCUUGGUGGCUUCAA
rnacentral:lncRNA from 13 species